AUUUAUAUAUAUAUUCUUGGCUUUGUACCCAAGCCGCCAAAAUCAGGUCCUCCACAUUCUUCUCUCCAAAUUCCAAAAGCCCAACAAAACAAACACCGAAAACAUAAAACAAACAAAGCCAACGUCUCUCUCUCUCUCUCUCUCUCUCUCUCUCCUUUCCUCUCUGUCCAUCUGAAAAGAAAUCGAGGAAUUGUAACCAAAAACAGCAGAACGAGCAUCAACAGGUAACAAGAAACGGAAACCAACCCUUAUUAAAAUCUUUUGACCUGCAACUUCUUCUAAUUAUUCCUACCACCACCACUACUCCCAAUUGGCGUUUUCCGAUCAUCUCUUUUUCUUCUCCACAGCCAUCAUCAUCGGAUUUUGAACGGUCAGGAUUGUUUCUGUUCUUUUCUAUUUUCAUUGGUAAUAGUGAAGUUUUGAAUUUGGGAAUUGAGAAGCUCUUUGCUUUUCAUCUUUUCUAGCCCUAAAUUUUGAGGUCAAGAUUGUUUCAAUCUUGAUCUAUCAAAACCCUUUUGUUGUAACUGGUAAAGGUGAGAGGAAAACUCUCAAUUCCUUUAAUUGUUCUCGUUUUAUGAGCUGGGUCGAUGGCGGAAUUCGAAAAUAAC
rnacentral:misc_RNA from 1 species